UUGGAUAAAUUUGUUUCUGAAUGAACGUAAACAUUACAUGUUAGGCUAUUUUUAAAAGGCAUUAUUGGUUUUCCUUUCAUGGUUACGUACUGAUAUGAAAGUGAAAGUAGAAACCUUGAAACCAUUGUGACUUGAGAUGGCUGUCAAGUCGAUUCUUUCAUCAACUUAAUAACAAGUGUUUGUUUUUAUGGCCUAUAGAUGCAUGCAGUAACUUGAGUUCAGUGUCACAUUGCUGCGUCUAAAAAGCCCAAAGCUGAUAAGACUGGCGAUUGAUCCUAAGGCUGAUUUGACAGAUGAUUGCAUCAGCACAAUAUUAAAGGUUCAAUAUACAGUCAGCGUCUCAUAAGAAUAAAUCCCAAGAUCCAAGACUUGCUUAAAAGCUUAAUUAAGAGACCAUUCUGUGCCACAAAGAAAUUGUUCAGGAAAGGGAGAAAUGGUGGAUUUGCAUUUUGGGUACAGUUCAAAGAGAGUUCAAAAUGGUCAAGCUCAUGGAAGAUCAGAGGGAGGACAACUGAAGAAAACUGAAAGAUACAGAAGGAAAAAGAACAAGAAAAUAUAUGAAAUAAUUAUGAAAUUGGGAGGAUGUACACAAUCUUGUCUGCAUUUGACCUGUAAAGAUUUAAUUCCCAUUCUUAUUUGUAUGCUGUAAUAUCAAAUAACUUGAUUUUUCAUAAAUUUACAAUAGAGAAUACAUGACAAAUGUUAUAUGUGAUAUUUCAAUUUUGCUUUGGACACUUUCAUGUCAAAUCAUAUAAAUUAUAAAAAAGUACAUGGACUAAUUAUGUUAUUCAUUUGUACA